GACGAACGCUGGCGGCGUGCUUAACACAUGCAAGUCGAACGAAGUGGCGAACGGGUGAGUAACGCGUAAUCCACCUGCCCUUCAGAGGGGGACAACAGUUGGAAACGACUGCUAAUACCGCAUACUGAAGGAGGGGAUUGCGUCUGAUUGUCUAGGUGGAGGGGUAACGGCCCACCAGGGCGAUGAUCAGUAGCCGGUCGGAGAGGAUUAACUGCAAAAUUGGGACUGAGACACGGCCCAGACUCCUACGGGAGGCAGCAGUGGGGAAUCUUCCGCAAUGGACGAAAGUCUGACGGAGCAACGCCGCGGGAGUGAUGACGGCCUUCGGGUGGUAAAGCUCUGUUAAUCGGGACGCGGUACCGGAAUAGAAAGCCACGGCUAACUACGUGCCAGCAGCCGCGGUAAUUC
rnacentral:rRNA from 1 species